UAUCCUUCCCACUGCUGCAGAGUGCAACUGUUUUCUUUCUUGUCGUUUGCUUGGGGCCUGAUUUCCAGCCGCGUGUCCUUCAGAGGGGUUUCUCAGUGGGUUAACCACACCCUCCCCGGAAGUGCUUGGUCAGGAUAUUUGUCGCUUCUUUGCAGCCAUGGAAAUGCACACAGGGAUUGAAAGGCCCACUUUAUGCAACGUUGCUCAAAGGAUUUGAGGAUUCCAUUACUGCACAAAUCCUUUAAUUAAAGCUGGUUCCUCCAGGCCCCUGUUGCCCGGGCCCAAUCCACAGCGUCCCUGGCGACCUUGGGCGGGUUGAUUAAUUGAGGAGCUGGCAGUGCCACCAUUCCUUCAAAGAUCCCACGAUAUAUCUGUUAAAACAGAAAUGCCUCCGGACACCAUAUGGUCCUGAGUUUGCAGUGGCUCUUAAAAUUUAUCUGCCACGUCUCCCCCGUGUGACUAACGCCGGCUGCCUUCUACUCGCUAGCUGAUUUGACCCAUCGCCCUGCCUCUCAGAGGCAGAGAACUUGCCAGCAAGGAGGUAUUUGGGGAAAACUCAAGAGGGCGUUUUUUUUGCAAUCUGGCAAUAAGAAGAACAUUCUCCGCUGGGCCCGAGUCACUGUUGAUAUCAAAGUGGCCAGAGUUUUGCAAAAUCUCUCUGCCUCGGCUUCUCAGGGAGGCAGCGAUAAGCAAUUAUAUCUGGGAAGUAACCAACAUCUCCAUUCUGCUGAGGAGAAGAGCCAGGGGAAGGGAAACUGUGUAGCAUAGAAAAAUCAGUGCCCUGAGGAUAACACUCUAGUAAAACUGAGCUCUGAGGCAUCUUUUCAGAAACCUGAGAAAUGAGAGAAUUUAACCAAAGGCGAACUUAAAAAAUUUUUUUAACGUUUAUUUAUUUUUGAAAGAGAGAGACAGAGACACAGAGAGACAGAGAGUGAGCUGAGGACGGGCAGAGAGAGAGGGAGACACAGAAUCCAGAGCAGGUUUCAGGCUCUGAGCUGUCUGCACAGAGCCAGACGCAGGGCUGGAACUCCUGAACCACGAGAUCAUGACCUGAGCUGAAGUCGGAUACUUAACCGAUUGAGCCACCCGGGUGCCCCAAACUUCUAAAGUUGUCUAAAGGAGAGUGGCUUCUGCGACGUUUGUCCAUCUGCGUGCAAUGCCAUCAUCGCGGAUCUGGGCGUGCCUGUUUGAGAGAAGGAGCUUGCUAGAAUCUGUGUAACAGACGAAGAAUUCAAAGUAGCCGAGGCAAUCCUGGAGGAAAGAGGUAGGGAGGCCAGAGAGGGGAGGAAGAGGGAGGAGGCUGUCAAGGAGACAGAAGCCUGUGAAGCUGGGUUCUGACUCCUGUCUGGGAACCAUAUCCCUCCACCAGAAGAUCCCACCCAUCGGGGUGCUUUAAAAUGUUUUUAAGUUGUUUAAAAGUGUGUUUGUUUGCUUAGAGAGAGCAAGCGGGGGAGGGACAGAGGGAGAGGCAGAGGGAGAGAAUCCCAAGCCAGCAGGCUCCGAACUAUCGGCGCAGAACCCGAGGCAGGGCUGGAAUUCACAAACCUCGAGAUCACGACCUGAGCUGAAGUCGGUUGCUUAACCGACUGAGCCGCCCAGACAUCCCAGAAGUAGGUUUCUUCUAAAUGGAGGCAAACAUUUAUCGGAAUCCUCGCUGCAAGGGAUGCAGAUGGCUAGUGUUUGAGACCUUCAUCUGUGGCGCAGGAGGAAAAGCAGUUACUGGGUUGAAUAACAAGUACCGGAAACGUCUUUGGCGUAUAGACAACGGCAUCCACACGUGUACUCGUCUGUCCACGAAGACCUGCGCAUUUACGUGCGUAGAAGUGAGGAGAUUCAAUACGUGGAUUCAGAGGAGUAUGUUUGGCUGCUUCCCAAUGAAGUGUGAAGUGUUCUAAGAGACAACACAGGACAAUUUCCUCUGAUGGCGAAGUUUUCCGAAGAGUGAUUGCUUCACUCUUUCUGGGCUUUUGCUGCUCUGACUUCGGAGUGAUAUUGAACGGACGCGGAGCUCUAGGUCUGGCAUCUUUGAAGACACUGCAGAGGUUGGGAGGCAUGUUGGCUCAACCUUGUCUUCAGUUUAAAGCAUUUUUUUAAAUGUCCUUCUUUUUAAAAAAUGGUCGCAUAAUAACAUAUGAACAAAUAAUAAACAGCUGCCAUUGAUCAAGCACUUACCCUGUG